rnacentral:rRNA from 1 species
UCCGUAGGCGGGCGACUAAGUCAGAUGUGAAAUCCCACAGCUUAACUGUGGAACUGCCUUUGAUACUGGUUGUCUUGAGUUAUAGUGAAGUAGAUAGAAUAUGUAGUGUAGCGGUGAAAUGCUUAGAUAUUACAUAGAAUACCGAUUGCGAAGGCAGUCUACUAACUAUAUACUGACGCUAAUGGACGAAAGCGUGGGGAGCGAACAGGAUUAGAUACCCUGGUAGUCC